rnacentral:rRNA from 1 species
CAGUCGCCGCGGGAACACGAAGGGGGCUAGCGUUGUUCGGAAUUACUGGGCGUAAAGGGCGCGUAGGCGGCCAUUCAAGUUAGAUGUGAAAGCCCUGGGCUCAACCUAGGAAUUGCAUUUGAUACUGUUUGGCUUGAGUUCGGGAGAGGUGAGUGGAAUUCCCAGUGUAGAGGUGAAAUUCGUAGAUAUUGGGAAGAACACCAGUGGCGAAGGCGGCUCACUGGACCGACACUGACGCUGAGGCGCGAAAGCGUGGGGAGCAAACAGGAUUAGAUACCCGAGUAGUCCCUGUCUCUUAUAC